UUGGAGGGCAAGUCUGGUGCCGGCAGCCGCGGUAAUUCCAGCUCCAAUAGCGUAUAUUUAAGUUGUUGCAGUUAAAAAGCUCGUAGUUGAAUUUCGGGAUCAAUAUGCCGGUCAUGCCUUGGUAUGCACUGGUAUCUUUGAUUUCUCCCUUCUGACGAACUUUGAUGUCAUUAAUUUGGUGUCAUAGGGAAUCAGGACUGUUACUUUGAAAAAAUUAGAGUGUUUAAAGCAGGCUUACGCUUGAAUACAUUAGCAUGGAAUAAUGAAAUAGGACGUUUGAUUCUAUUUUGUUGGUUUCUAGGAUCGACGUAAUGAUUAAUAGGGAUAGUUGGGGGCAUUAGUAUUCAAUUGUCAGAGGUGAAAUUCUUGGAUUUAUUGAAGACCAACUACUGCGAAAGCAUUUGCCAAGGAUGUUUUCAUUAAUCAAGAACGAAAGUUAGGGGAUCGAAGACGAUCAGAUACCGUCGUAGUCUUAGCCAUAAACUAUGCCGACUAGGGAUCGGAUGAUGUUAAUUUUUUAAUGACUCAUUCGGCGCCUUACGGGAAACCAAAGUGUUUGGGUUC
rnacentral:rRNA from 1 species